UACGGGGGGGGCAAGCGUUGUUCGGAAUUACUGGGCGUAAAGGGCUCGUAGGCGGCCAACUAAGUCGGAUGUGAAAUCCCCAGGCUUAACCUGGGAACUGCAUCCGAUACUGGAUGGCUUGAAUCCGGGAGAGGGAUGCGGAAUUCCCAGUGUAGCGGUGAAAUGCGUAGAUACUGGGAGGAACACCAGUGGCGAAGGCGGCUACCUGGACCGGUUCUGACGCUGAGGCGCGAAAGCGUGGGUAGCAAACAGG
rnacentral:rRNA from 1 species